CCAAUAUCCAAUUGAAGAAUAGAAAGGACUCCCCUGACACACCGUGGGUAUGUAUCAUUUAAGCAAAAACAAAAGACAAAAGACAGUGGAUACUGAACAACCAGAUUCCCGUUUGUAAAACCUUGGAUCCAUAGUUUCCUCUAAUCCCACGGAAGGUUUUCUCAGACUCUGGCUGUCAGAGAGGAGAACUAUGAACUCACCUACUCAUUCAUGCUGCCCAGAACCAGAUGCACAAAGAACAAACAAGUUUCCCAGCAGGACUCAAAAUAGAAGGGAUGGUGACUGCAUGCCUUACCAUUCGGGAUCCUCUUCUUCCCGGAGAACUCCGCGCAGGCAGGCUUGGAGAGGGAAUGAAUUGAUCUGGCAUCGUGAAGAUUUGCUCAGCCUUCCCUGAGUGCAUCUUCUGACUCCUGGGGUAGGUAAGAAAUGGAGGGGCUCCUGGAGUCACCUUCAAGGCAGAUGAAGAGGAGCUAUGGAGGCCCUUUGAAGCAUGGCCCCUGGGCAUGGGAUCUGGUGAGAAACCUCCUUCCCAGCUUUGCCACUGAAACCAUGGAUUUUAAACUUCGGCAGGGUUUCCAAGCUUUCAUUUCCCAUCUAUCAAUAGGGAUAAUAAUAAUAAUAUGCCUGUAUGACCUUGUUCACAGGUUUGCUGUCAAGGUCAAAUAAGACAAGCAAAAGUACCUUGUAGAUCCAGUAUUAUACUAGUUAAGAAGAAAGACUGGAGCCCAGUGGUCCGGAUUAAGUCCCCACACCUCCCCCAGCUUCACUAUGUACUUGUUGGGUGACCUUGGACAAGUUAUUUAACCUCCCUAUAACCAGUUUCUUCCUUUACAAAAUAAGAAUGAGACUAGGACUUUCAUCAUAUGGUUAUGAGGAUUCAAAUGAGUUAAAUGUAAAGCACUCAGGCCAGGCGUGGUGGCUCACACCUGUAAUCCCAGCACUUUGGGAGGCUGAGGCAGCAAGAUUGCUUGAGCCCAGGAGUUCAAGACAAGCUGGUCAACAUAGUGAGACCCCAUCUCUACAAAAAAUUUAAAAAUUAUCCAGGCGUGGUGGCAUAUGCCUGUAGUCCCAGCUACUCAGAGGCUGAGUUACAAGGAUUGCUUGAGCCCGGGAGGUUGAGGCUGCAGUGAGCUGUGAUGGCACCAGUGCACUCCAGCCUGAGCAACACAGAGAGACCCUGUCUUAAAUAAAUAAAUAAAUAAAUAAAUAAAUAAAGCACUCAGAAAAGCACCUAGUGCAUAGUUAAUAUCAUACCAUAUAAAUUGAGCCAUCACUAUUAUUUUUGUAAAGUACUAUACAGGAUGGUUAUGAUGGUCACUUCUUAGAUACAGAAGCAGAGUUCUGCUGUGUCUACAAGGAGAGGAACACUAUAGGAAGCAUUGAGUUCUGCCCUGAACUCCUAGUCCAGGCUUUAAAAAAGAGCCAUAAAAAUGCCAUCCCACUGAUAAGCGUCUGGAGCAAGGGAGGCGUGCCUUGACCAUCCUGGAAAAACAUUAUCUCCACCCUACCUAUACUUAUCUCCUUGGCUCGCUUCUGGCCAAAGGUCCACACUUGGUCUGAACCUAUUGCAUGCAGAGCUUUGCCACAGAUGUCCCUGUACUGAGGGGCUCUGGCUGGUUGGGAUGUUCGAAGGGACAGCUGUGGAUGCUGUUUAUUGGCCUGAAAUGUGGAACCAGUGUGGAGAAGGCAAGACAGGCUAGGUUGACAUCAGAUGUAGGCUUUUCAUUUUUAUUUUUUGAGAAAGGGUCUUGCCCUGUCACCCAGGCUUGAAGGAUUGAGUGCAGUGGUGCAUCAUAGUUUACUGCAGCCUUGAACUCCUGGGCUCAAGCGAUCCUCCUGCCUUAGCCUCUCAAGUAGCUGGGACUAUAGGCACGUGCCACCAUGACCAGCUAAUUAGAAAACA